UGGGGAAUAUUGCACAAUGGGGGAAACCCUGAUGCAGCGACGCCGCGUGAACGAAGAAGGUAUUCGUAUCGUAAAGUUCUGUCCUAUGGGAAGAUAAUGACAGUACCAUAGAAGAAAGCUCCGGCUAAAUACGUGCCAGCAGCCGCGGUAAUACGUAUGGAGCGAGCGUUGUCCGGAAUUAUUGGGCGUAAAGGGUACGCGGGCGGUUUAAUAAGUCGAAUGUUAAAGAUCGGGGCUCAACCCCGUAAAGCAUUGGAAACUGAUAAACUUGAGUAGUGGAGAGGAAAGUGGAAUUCCUAGUGUAGUGGUGAAAUACGUAGAUAUUAGGAGGAAUACCAGUAGCGAAGGCGACUUUCUGGACACAAACUGACGCUGAGGUACGAAAGCGUGGGGAGCAAACAGG
rnacentral:rRNA from 1 species